rfam:Glossina morsitans morsitans, isolate Yale, WGS project CCAG01000000 data, contig: ctg10013935
AUAUGAGAAUAACAUAUUCUGCUUAAAAUGUGCAUGCUCCCGCGAAGGAGAGGGGUCGAAGUAAUGUGUGUGCGCGGGGUAGUUUUACUAAGUAGGCGACGUGGUUAGAGAAUCGUGCAUGCUGCGGACAGUAGUAUCUUUGGAAGAUUUCUAUCUCCAGCUCGC